UACGUAGGGGGCGAGCGUUGUCCGGAAUUAUUGGGCGUAAAGCGCGUGUAGGCGGUCCGGUAAGUCCGCUGUGAAAGUCGAGGGCUCAACCCUCGAAUGCCGGUGGAUACUGUCGGGCUAGAGUGCGGAAGAGGCGAGUGGAAUUCCUGGUGUAGCGGUGAAAUGCGCAGAUAUCAGGAGGAACACCUAUUGCGAAGGCAGCUCGCUGGGACGUUACUGACGCUGAGACGCGAAAGCGUGGGGAGCAAACCGG
rnacentral:rRNA from 1 species